rnacentral:rRNA from 1 species
CAGCCGCCGCGGUAAUACAGAGGGUGCAAGCGUUAAUCGGAAUUACUGGGCGUAAAGCGCGCGUAGGUGGUUUGUUAAGUUGGAUGUGAAAUCCCCGGGCUCAACCUGGGAACUGCAUUCAAAACUGACUGACUAGAGUAUGGUAGAGGGUGGUGGAAUUUCCUGUGUAGCGGUGAAAUGCGUAGAUAUAGGAAGGAACACCAGUGGCGAAGGCGACCACCUGGACUAAUACUGACACUGAGGUGCGAAAGCGUGGGGAGCAAACAGGAUUAGAUACCCCGGUAGUCCCUGUCUCUUAUAC